AAGUAUACGAAGGGAAAUCUACUGCACAAGUUGUCACCAAUCCACACAUCUUAUUCCUAGAUGUCAAUUUGAAGUUACUAUUAAGGACAACAGCUAUUGUUUCGAAUGAAAUUGCAGAGAAAAUGUUGCACCUCACUUCAGAAGAGAUUUAUGAAAUUUGCUUCAUCAAGAAAGAAACAUUAUCGCUCCAAAAUGUGGAAGAUCAAUUGAACGGCAAGAUAUUCAACAUUCAAAUGAAAAGGCUAUUCACAAAAAGAAUGGAUGCAACACAAAAAUUAUUCAUUUUGUCUUACUUGGAGAAACAAGAUGUAAUUCAUAAACCAAUGACAUCUACGACUGUCAAUGUUACAGAUGCGAAGAAACGCACAAUUGAACAUCUUAGUUCAGGGGAAAAAGAAUAUCCUAGCAUGCAAAUGAAAAAUCCUCCCAUCAAAAAGAAUUAAAAGUUGGAACACUUUUGUUGUGGUUCUCGAAACGGUCAUUUUUUGCACUCUUUUGCUGCUGCCAUUGAAUGCCGUGUUUUGCAAGCUUCUGAUGUUGCUAUGUGGAUGUCUUCUGUUCCUCUUCUUUUGUGGAAAUUGAAAAUAUUUUCUCCUGUGAUAGCAGGUGAUUUUGAUCAAAGAUGGUCCAGAAGAUCCAAGCAUGAAAAAUGCAUAUAUUUUUGUCUAAUUUAAAAAAGUAUGUAAAUCUAUGUAAUUAGCACUCCCACAUAUGGAAAUGUUAAACUAUGUAAGUAUCUCAGUUCAACAAUCAGUAGUAUGACAUUCACAUGAAUAUGUAAUGAACAAAUUUGGCAGCUAUAAUGUGUUUAAAUUAGUAA